AAGAGUUUGAUCAUGGCUCAGAUUGAACGCUGGCGGCAGGCCUAACACAUGCAAGUCGAACGGUAACAGGAAGCAGCUUGCUGCUUCGCUGACGAGUGGCGGACGGGUGAGUAAUGUCUGGGAAACUGCCUGAUGGAGGGGGAUAACUACUGGAAACGGUGGCUAAUACCGCAUAACGUCGCAAGACCAAAGAGGGGGACCUUCGGGCCUCUUGCCAUCAGAUGUGCCCAGAUGGGAUUAGCUAGUUGGUGAGGUAACGGCUCACCAAGGCGACGAUCCCUAGCUGGUCUGAGAGGAUGACCAGCCACACUGGAACUGAGACACGGUCCAGACUCCUACGGGAGGCAGCAGUGGGGAAUAUUGCACAAUGGGCGCAAGCCUGAUGCAGCCAUGCCGCGUGUAUGAAGAAGGCCUUCGGGUUGUAAAGUACUUUCAGCGGGGAGGAAGGUGUUGUGGUUAAUAACCACAGCAAUUGACGUUACCCGCAGAAGAAGCACCGGCUAACUCCGUGCCAGCAGCCGCGGUAAUACGGAGGGUGCAAGCGUUAAUCGGAAUUACUGGGCGUAAAGCGCACGCAGGCGGUCUGUCAAGUCGGAUGUGAAAUCCCCGGGCUCAACCUGGGAACUGCAUUCGAAACUGGCAGGCUUGAGUCUUGUAGAGGGGGGUAGAAUUCCAGGUGUAGCGGUGAAAUGCGUAGAGAUCUGGAGGAAUACCGGUGGCGAAGGCGGCCCCCUGGACAAAGACUGACGCUCAGGUGCGAAAGCGUGGGGAGCAAACAGGAUUAGAUACCCUGGUAGUCCACGCCGUAAACGAUGUCUACUUGGAGGUUGUGCCCUUGAGGCGUGGCUUCCGGAGCUAACGCGUUAAGUAGACCGCCUGGGGAGUACGGCCGCAAGGUUAAAACUCAAAUGAAUUGACGGGGGCCCGCACAAGCGGUGGAGCAUGUGGUUUAAUUCGAUGCAACGCGAAGAACCUUACCUGGUCUUGACAUCCACGGAAGUUUUCAGAGAUGAGAAUGUGCCUUCGGGAACCGUGAGACAGGUGCUGCAUGGCU
rnacentral:rRNA from 1 species